rnacentral:rRNA from 1 species
UACGGGGGGAGCAAGCGUUGUUCGGAUUUACUGGGCGUAAAGGGCGCGUAGGCGGCCACCGCAAGUCGACUGUGAAAUCUCCGGGCUUAACCCGGAAAGGUCAGCCGAUAUUGCGGGGCUAGAGUGCAGAAGGGGCAACUGGAAUUCUCGGCGUAGCGGUGAAAUGCGUAGAUAUCGAGAGGAACACCUGCGGCGAAGGCGGGUUGCUGGGCUGACACUGACGCUGAGGCGCGAAAGCCAGGGGAGCAAACGGG